GCAAAACUUUCUCCACUCAAUGAGAUCCCUAAGAUUUGCUAUCUUUCUGAUUUUCUUCUUCUGCUUUGCUCUGGUUGGGCAUGGACGUGCAAAAUCCAAUGAACUAGUGGUGGGUUCCAUUAAAUCCUUCCAUUUGGGGCAGACACAGGGAAGAUCCAAGUGUCAAGAUGUUAGUGAUGAAUGCAAAAUGGGGGGAGGCAGAAAAGAGAGUGUUUUUGAACAUGAAGACUAUGUCUACACUCAAUCUAUUCCUUAGUUUAUGCAAACUCCAUGCAAUCUAAAUUUCUUACUUCAGUGGCAGAGAUAAUAAGAGAAUCAUAACCUGUGUCCAUGCCUCAUUUGUCAAGUAGCAGCAGCAAUUCACAAGCAGUUUAAAGCUUCAAACUUCUUUCCUUUGUGGAAACUGCAACUCCUCUGAAGAUGACGUUUCUGGCUGCAUGGUAAAUAGUGCCUUUGUAUUUGCAAAAUAAAGGGAAGGUAUUGGUGUGAAAAUGGUAAAUGUUAAGUGCGGAGGAGGAUGGGAUAAAAUAAAAUGUUCCAAACAUGAAGGCUGUCUUCAGCCAACAACUCUUUCGAUUGUGCAAAGUUCCAUAACUCAUGCUGUCUAAAAUAUCUACUCAAAUGAGAAUAAUUACAGUGUAAACGAAA